GGGGGCAUAGCCAAGCGGUAAGGCACGGGACUGCAAAUCCCUCAUCCCCGGUUCGAAUCCGGGUGCCCCCUCCA
rnacentral:tRNA from 1 species